GUGGGGAAUAUUGGGCAAUGGGCGAAAGCCUGACCCAGCAACGCCGCGUGAGGGAAGAAGGCCUUCGGGUUGUAAACCUCUGUCCUUGGUGACGAAGAAAGUGACGGUAGCCAAGGAGGAAGCCCCGGCUAACUACGUGCCAGCAGCCGCGGUAAUACGUAGGGGGCGCGCGUUGUCCGGAAUUACUGGGCGUAAAGGGUGCGUAGGUGGCCUUUUAAGUUGGAUGUGAAAUACCCGGGCUUAACUUGGGGGGUGCAUCUAAUACUGGGAGGCUAGAGUGCAGGGGAGGGAAGCGGAAUUCCUAGUGUAGCGGUGAAAUGCGUAGAUAUUAGGAGGCACACCAGUGGCGAAGGCGCCUUUCUGGACUGUGUCUGACGCUGAGAUGCGAAAGCCAGGGUAGCAAACGGGAUUAGAUACCCUAGUAGUCC
rnacentral:rRNA from 1 species